rnacentral:rRNA from 2 species
CCAGAUGAUUAAAAAUCAUUUGUUAGCAAGGCCGGGCAAGACCGGUGCCAGCCGCCGCGGUAACACCGGCGGCCCGAGUGGUAGCCGUUUUUAUUGGGUCUAAAGGGUCCGUAGCCGGCCAGAUAAGUCCUUUGGGAAAUCUGGCAGCUUAACUGUCAGGCUUCUAAGGGAUACUGUCAGGCUUGGGACCGGAAGAGGUAAGGGGUACUCCAGGGGUAGGAGUGAAAUCUUGUAAUCCCUGGGGGACCAUCUGUGGCGAAGGCGCCUUACCAGAACGGGUCCGACGGUGAGGGACGAAAGCUAGGGGAGCAAACCGGAUUAGAUACCCGGGUAGUCCUAGCUGUAAACGAUGCUCGCUAGGUGUCAGACACGGUGCGACCGUGUUUGGUGCCGCAGGGAAGCCGUUAAGCGAGCCACCUGGAAGUACGUCGCAAGGC